UACGUAGGUGGCAAGCGUUGUUCGGAAUUAUUGGGCGUAAAGGGCGCGUAGGCGGUUUGUUAAGUCGGCUGUGAAAGCCCGGGGCUCAACCCCGGAGGGUCAGCCGAUACUGGCAGACUAGAGUACGGAAGAGGUAGCUGGAAUUCCCGGUGUAGCGGUGAAAUGUGUAGAGAUCGGGAGGAACACCGGUGGGGAAGGCGGGUCUCGGGGCAUAUCCUGACGCUGAGGCGCGAAAGCGUGGGGAGCAAACGGG
rnacentral:rRNA from 1 species